GGGGACUUCACCAACCGAGGACCAUGGCUGGACAGAAAGACUGUGCACUUUGGGGUCAGCUGGGCCUGAGUUAGACUCCAGCUCCCCCACUUGUUAGCUUCAAAUUCCGAGAUAGUUGUGUUUGAACUUAUUUGACUUCCUCUGGGGCUACUAAUCUCCACAUCGCUCAAUCCUUGGGAGUCUGUGAGCUCCCCAAGAGGGAAACUAUCUGAUUCAUCCUAAAAGCCAGAAGCAAGUAGUUGUCAUCUCCAGGAUGGGAGCGGUGGGAAGAGACUGUGAAGCCUGCAGACCCCAACCCCUCAGUGGGACAGCAGCAGGGACCUGGAAUCUUCCAUCAGGAAGAAGCAAUACUGGUAGGCAGCAGAUGGCAACUUCAAACACGUGCAGAUGGCUUGCAUUGUAACCCGACGGACAGUAAGAACACAUAUCCUAGAUCACCAACCUGGAAGACACCCCCUUAAAUAUACCCAACUCUGCUCAUAAGGCACCUCAGCACCCACAAUCCACUGCUAAGUGCAACCUAAGAUCUCUAUCUUAUAAACCCUUUUCAUGCCUCUUACAGUCACAUUCUGAAAAUUCUUUUUCCGUGGCAGAAGGCAGCAAACCUGCAAACUUGGGCCAGGGAUUUAGCUCAGUGGUUUUGCCACCUGCUGCGCAAGUGGAAAGACCCAAGUUCUAUCCCAAGUAACAACAAAAAACAAACAAACAAACAAACAAAACCCUGCAAACUUAUUCUACAAGAGUGGGACAGGUUCCUUAUUUCAGCCCUGGUGACCUUCAGAACCAGCUCAGUGACAAGACCAAGCUUCACCUCCCAAAUCACAUUUAGCAAUAAAUGCAUCACUGGAUGAAUCCACUGAGUAGUGGUCAGACUGUGAUCCUGUCUCCCUCCCCAAGGCUCCACCUAUGAGCACAUGAGGCUUUGAG
rnacentral:lncRNA from 1 species